rnacentral:rRNA from 1 species
CUUCCCAUCCCGAACAGGACCGUGAAACGACUCCACGCCGAUGAUAGUGCGGAUUGCCCGUGUGAAAGUAGGUCAUCGUCAGGC